CAUGCUUGCUGAUGACUUGAAGCUGAGCAGUGAUGAUGAUGACACUCAAAGGGCCACUCAUGAGUCAGCUUCCUGGGAUGGAAACAGCCUGUCAGCACAGCGAGCGCACACACAUGGCAGGCGAGUGAGACAUUCCAGCUCAGACUCCUCUGGCUCUGACUCCACGGCUGAGUCGGGCAGCAGCAGCCUUCACUCCCGGAGCCCCAGCCGAAGCCCAGACGUCCAGCCAGAUCCUGCGUCGCCUGCCAACGUGCAGCCACCGUGCAGCAGC